AAAUUGAAGAGUUUGAUCAUGGCUCAGAUUGAACGCUGGCGGCAGGCCUAACACAUGCAAGUCGAGCGGUAGCACAGAGAGCUUGCUCUCGGGUGACGAGCGGCGGACGGGUGAGUAAUGUCUGGGAAACUGCCUGGUGGAGGGGGAUAACUACUGGAAACGGUAGCUAAUACCGCAUAAUGUCGCAAGACCAAAGUGGGGGACCUUCGGGCCUCAUGCCAUCAGAUGUGCCCAGAUGGGAUUAGCUAGUAGGUGGGGUAACGGCUCACCUAGGCGACGAUCCCUAGCUGGUCUGAGAGGAUGACCAGCCACACUGGAACUGAGACACGGUCCAGACUCCUACGGGAGGCAGCAGUGGGGAAUAUUGCACAAUGGGCGCAAGCCUGAUGCAGCCAUGCCGCGUGUGUGAAGAAGGCCUUCGGGUUGUAAAGCACUUUCAGCGGGGAGGAAGGCGUUAAGGUUAAUAACCUUG
rnacentral:rRNA from 1 species